UACGUAGGAUGCAAGCGUUGUUCGGAAUUACUGGGCGUAAAGAGUACGUAGGCGGUGACGUAAGUCUGAUAUUAAAGACCGAGGCUUAACUUCGGGAAUGUAUCGGAAACUGCGUUGCUAGAGGCAGAUAGAGGAUGCCGGAAUUCCCAGUGUAGCGGUGAAAUGCGUAGAUAUUGGGAAGAACACCGGAGGCGAAAGCGGGCAUCUGGGUCUGUACUGACGCUGAGGUACGAAAGCGUGGGGAGCAAACAGG
rnacentral:rRNA from 1 species